AUUGAACGCUGGCGGCAGGCCUAACACAUGCAAGUCGAGCGGAGCGACGGACGGGUGAGUGAUGCAUAGGAAUCUGCCUGGUAGUGGGGGAUCACGUCCAGAAACGGACGCUAAUCACGAAUACUAUCAGAUGAGCCUACGUCGGAUUAGCUAGUUGGUGGGGUAAAGGCCUACCAAGGCGCCGAUCCGUAACUGGUCGGAGAGGAUGAUCAGUCACACUGGAACUGAGACACGGUCCAGACUCCUACGGGAGGCAGCAGUGGGGAAUAUUGGACAAUGGGCGAAAGCCUGAUCCAGCCAUGCCGCGUGUGUGAAGAAGGUCUUCGGAUUGUAAAGCACUUUAAGUUGGGAGGCGUUACCAACAGAAUAAGCACCGGCUAACUUCGUGCCAGCAGCCGCGGUAAUAC
rnacentral:rRNA from 1 species